rnacentral:rRNA from 1 species
CAGUCGCCACGGUAAUACGUAGGGUGCAAGCGUUAAUCGGAAUUACUGGGCGUCAAGCGUACGCAGGCGGUUAUAUAAGUCAGAUGUGAAAUCCCCGGGCUCAACCUGGGAACUGCAUUUGAGACUGUAUGGCUAGAGUGUGUCAGAGGGGGGUAGAAUUCCACGUGUAGCAGUGAAAUGCGUAGAUAUGUGGAGGAAUACCGAUGGCGAAGGCAGCCCCCUGGGAUAACACUGACGCUCAUGCACGAAAGCGUGGGGAGCAAACAGGAUUAGAUACCCGGGUAGUCCCUGUCUCUUAUAC